AUUGAACGCUGGCGGCAGGCCUAACACAUGCAAGUCGAGCGGAUGAAGGAAGCUUGCUCCUGUCUUCAGCGGCGGACGGGUGGGUAAUGCCUACGAAUCUGCCUUGUCGAGGGGGAUAACGUAAGGACAGGGGCGCUAAUACCACAUACGUCCUGAGGGUGAACGUCGGGGAUCUUCAGACCACGCGCUAUCAGAUGAGCCUAGGUCGGAUUAGCUAGUUGGUGGGGUAAAGGCGUACCAAGGCGACGAUCCGUAACUGGUCUGAGAGGCUGAUCAGUCACACUGGAACUGAGACACGGUCCAGACUCCUACGGGAGGCAGCAGUGGGGAAUCUUGCACAAUGGGCGAAAGCUUGAUGCAGCCAUGCCGCGUGUGUGAUGAAGGUCUUCGGAUCGUAAAGCUCUGUAAGUUGGGAGGAAGGACUGUAAGUGAAUCUCUUGCUGUCUUGACGGUACCAAAAGAAUAAGCAACGGCUAACUUCGUG
rnacentral:rRNA from 1 species